rnacentral:lncRNA from 1 species
AGGAUCAUGGGUUCCUCCUUGGGACUCUAGGACGAAGGAAGCAGCUAGCAAAGGCGUUCGCUCAAAGCUACUGUGUGCAAUAGGUGUGCUGGAGGGUCAGGCUGGAGCGUGGGGUGGGGUAAGACCCUCUGAAAGUUUACUCUCUGUCACUGUUGCCUCUCAAGAGGUUCUGAUGCUACGAGAAAGUGAAGGUGAUCAGGAAGGACAAGCUGUAGGUGAAGUAUCAUUUUCAAAAAGUCAUUUAAAACUGCAAACUGCCAAAUGCGGCAGCUCAUGCCUGUAAUUCUAGAACUCUGAGAGGCUGAAGCAGGAGGAUUACUUGUGACCAGGAGUUUGAGACCAGCCUGGGCAACAUAGCAAGACCUUGUCUCUACAGAAAAUAAAAAAAAUAAAAAAAUUCAUGAACGGUUUCUCUGUAGCAUGUGAAGCUGUUUCAUAGCAUUUUGCCCACAGUAGAACUGCUUUCAAAAUUGGAGUCAAUCCUCUCAAACCCUGCCACUUCUUUAUCAACUAAAUGUGUGUACUAUUCUAAAUCCUGUUGUCAUUUCAACAAUGUUCACAGCCUCUUCACAAGGAGUAGAUUCCAU